rnacentral:rRNA from 1 species
UACGAAGGGGGCUAGCGUUGCUCGGAAUCACUGGGCGUAAAGGGUGCGUAGGCGGGUCUUUAAGUCAGGGGUGAAAUCCUGGAGCUCAACUCCAGAACUGCCUUUGAUACUGAGGAUCUUGAGUUCGGGAGAGGUGAGUGGAACUGCGAGUGUAGAGGUGAAAUUCGUAGAUAUUCGCAAGAACACCAGUGGCGAAGGCGGCAUCCUGGACCGACAUUGACGCUGAACGGCGAAAGCUAGGGGAGCAAACGGG